rnacentral:lncRNA from 1 species
UUUUUAGAUAGUUUGUUUAUUUUUCUUUUAGUUGUUUAUUUUGCUUUUUAGUAUAAUGCAUGAGUCUGACGAGUCACCAAAUAUAGUAUACUUUUAGUACAAUCUCAUCUCCCCAUACCUUUAGCCCUGCCGAAAUUUUUUUGCAAAAGAAAACAGUGUUAUUCUGAAAGUUGUCAGGUUUUAAAGACAUGUUUUGAGUAAGGAUGCGGUGACUUGGGAGAACUUUGCGAAACAUCAGUAUUACUUUAGCACCAUAGACUUCGUAAAUAUAGGAACCACUCCCGAAAC